rnacentral:rRNA from 1 species
AGUGAACGCUGGCGGCAGGCCUAACACAUGCAAGUCGAACGGCAGCACAGGGGAGCUUGCUCCCUGGGUGGCGAGUGGCGGACGGGUGAGGAAUACAUCGGAAUCUACCCUUUCGUGAGGGAUAACGUAGGGAAACUUACGCUAAUACCGCAUACGAUCUGAGGAUGAAAGCAGGGGACCGCAAGGCCUUGCGCGAUUGGAUGAGCCGAUGUCCGAUUAGCUAGUUGGCGGGGUAAAGGCCCACCAAGGCGACGAUCGGUAGCUGGUCUGAGAGGAUGAUCAGCCACACUGGAACUGAGACACGGUCCAGACUCCUACGGGAGGCAGCAGUGGGGAAUAUUGGACAAUGGGCGCAAGCCUGAUCCAGCCAUGCCGCGUGUGUGAAGAAGGCCUUCGGGUUGUAAAGCACUUUUGUUGGGAAAGAAAUCCUGUCGGCUAAUACCCGGCGGGGAUGACGGUACCCAAAGAAUAAGCACCGGCUAACUUCGUGCCAGCAGCCGCGGUAAGAC